AUCGGUCCUUGGAGCGGCGAGGACACACCCGUUCCCAUCCCGAACACGGAAGUUAAGCUCGCCAGCGCCGAAGAUACUCGGGGCGCAGGCCCCUGGGAAAAUAGGUCAGGGCCGGGG
rnacentral:rRNA from 1 species